AAGUCGUAACAAGGUUUCCGUAGGUGAACCUGCGGAAGGAUCAUUAUCGAGUUUGGGUCCUUGGGGCCCCCUCUCCCACCCUUGCCAAUCUUACCAUGUUGCUUUGGCGGGCCCGUCUUCAACCGGACCGCCGGGGAGUCGUCUCCCUGGUCAGCACCCGCCAACAGCCCCACCAAAUCCUCUUGAAGCGUGAUAUCUGAGUCCCAACAAACAAUAAUCAAAACUUUCAACAACGGAUCUCUUGGUUCUGGCAUCGAUGAAGAACGCAGCGAAAUGCGAUAAGUAAUGCGAAUUGCAGAAUUCCGUGAGUCAUCGAAUCUUUGAACGCACAUUGCGCCCUUUGGUAUUCCGAAGGGCAUGCCUGUCCGAGCGUCAUUGUCCACCCUCAAGCCCGGCUUGCAGUUGGGUCGCGUUGGGCGUCGAGUGCAACGGACCUCAAAGGUAGUGGCAGAGCCUGUGGGGGCCCCGGACGCAGCGAGCUUUCCAGCACGCGUCGCGGCGGUCCUCCGGGCUCGGUCUCAACCGAUUAUUUCUCUCGUUGACCUCGGAUCAGGUAGGGAUACCCGCUGAACUUAAGCAUAUCAAUAAGCGGAGGAAAAGAAACCAACAGGGAUUGCCUCAGUAACGGCGAGUGAAGCGGCAACAGCUCAAAUUUGAAAUCUGACCUCUCUCGGGUCCGAGUUGUAAUUUGUAGAGGAUGCUUCGGGCAAGGCUGCGGUCUAAUUCCGCUUGGAACAGCGAGUCAGAGAGGGUGAGAGNCCCGUCUAGGNCCGUAANCCGCGUCCAGGUGAAGCUCCUUCGACGAGUCGAGNUGUUUGGGAANGCAGCUCUAAAUGGGGUGGUAAAUUUCAUCUAAAACUAAAUAUUGGCCAGAGGCCCGAUAGGGCACAAGUAGNGNGAUCGAAAGNUGAAAAAGCACUUUGGAAAAAGNGUUAAACAGUAUGUGAAAUUGUUGAAAGGGAAGCGCUUGCGACCAGACUCGUGAACGAUGGCUCCCCCCGCGCCCUCCGGCCGGGUCNCUCCGUCGUCUCCGGGCCAGCAUCGGUUUGGGCGGUCGGUCAAAGGCCCCGGGAAUGUAUCUACCUUCGGGUCGACUUAUAGCCCGGGGUGCAAUGCGGCCCACCCGGACCGAGGAACGCGCUUCGGCUCGGAUGCUGGCGUAAUGGCUGCAAGCGGCC
rnacentral:rRNA from 1 species